rnacentral:lncRNA from 1 species
AAACUUCAAAUAUCACCCAUAGAGUUUCACACUUUCUCAUUUUAGUACCUUAUGAUUUAAAAUGUAUUCAUUUAGUGUCCUGUAGUUUUAUUUUUAUCUUUUUCUUAUUUAUUUCACUAAUUUUUUUUGUUAAAUCAGUGACAAAGUUAAAACUAAAGUGUAUUUCACUAAUUUUUUUUGUUAAAUCAAUGACAAAGUUAAAACUAAAGGGCACUGAAGUGAAUAUUCAAUAAACCUAGGUGGGGUAUCUGAAGUUUUUUGUAUAUAAUUUAACGAAAUAUUAACGAAGAACCUGACGAAAAGAUAAAAUGUAUUACUUUAGUACACUUUCUCACCUUAGUACCUUAUGAUUUAAAAUGAAUUAAUUUAGUGUCAUAUAGUUUCAUUUUUAUCUUUUGCUUAUUUAUUUCACUAAUUUUUUUUGUUAAAUCAGUGAUAAAGUUAAAACUAAAGGGCACUAAAGUGAAUAUUCAAUAAACCUAGGUGGGAUAUCUGAAGUUUUUUGUAUAUAAUUUAACGAAAUAUUAACGGAGAACCUGACGAAAAGAUAAAAUGUAUUACUUUAGUACACUUUCUCACUUUAGUACAUUAUGAUUUAAAAUGUAUUAAUUUAGUGUCAUAUAGUUUCAUUUUUAUCUUUUUCUUAUUUAUUUCACUAAUUUUUUUUGUUAAAUCAGUGAUAAAGUUAAAACUAAAGGGCACUAAAAUGAAUAUUCAAUAAAGCUAGGUGGGGUAUCUGAAGUUUUUUGUAUAUAAUUUAACGAAAUAUUAAUAAAGAAGCUGACGAAAAGAUAAAAAUAAAAUCACAGGGCACUAACUUGACACACUUUAAACUACAGGGUACUAAAGUGAGAAAGUGCAAAACUACAGGGGUGGUAUUUGAAAUUUACCCUUUACAAUUUUAUGAAUACUAGUUGAGUAUACGUGUUAAUACACAUAACAAUUAUUUUAAUUUAUUUUAAACUAAUAUAAAUUUAUACAUUAUAUUUAUUUAAAAAUUUAUAAUGAAAAUUAUAUUUUAU